rnacentral:sRNA from 2 species
GCGCCCGUCCUAGGGGAGUAGUCUCCCGCGAGCAGCCUCAAGCGCUGACUCGCCCGGUACGCGUCAACAUACUUGGUCAGCAGACCAUGGCGCGUACGACCCGAGGUCCUGCAAAAGGACCCGAGGUU